AUGGACAGCCAGGACAGGAAGGUGGUGGUGUACAACAACAGCACCGGGCUUGUGAAGUGUGGUUAUAUGCAGGCUCUAACUUUCCAGAAGACAUCUUCCCAGCUUUGGUUGGAAGACCUAUUAUCAGAUCAACCACCAAAGUGGGAAACAUUGAACAAGGAUCUUAUGGUUGGUGAUGAGGCAGGUGAAUUACGAUCAAUGUUGGAAGUUAAUUACCCUAUGGAAAAUGGCAUAGUAAGAAAUUAGGAUGACGUGAAAAACCUGUGGGACUACACGUUUGGACCAGAGAAACUUAAUAUAGAUACCAGAAAUUGUAAAAUCUUACUCACAGAACCUCCUAUGAACCCAACCAAAAACACAGAGAAGACUGUAGAGGUAAUGUUUGAAACUUAGCAGUUUUCCGGUGUAUAUGUAGCCAUCCAGACGGUUCUGACUUUGUACGCUCAAGGUUUAUUGACUGGUGUAGCGGUAGACUCUGGAGAUAGUGUGAGUCAUAUUUGCCCAGUAUAUGAAGGCUUUUCUCUCCCUCAUCUUACCAGGAGACUGGAUAUUGCUGAGAGGGAUGUAACUAGAUACCAGGUUGCUUCUAUUGCGAGGAUAUGCCUUCAACCACCCUGCUGAUUUUGAAACGGUUUGCAUGAUUAAAGAAAAACUGUUACGUGGGAUAUAAUAUUGAGCAAGAGCAGAAACUGGCCUUAGAAACCAAAGUAUUAGUUGAAUCUUAUACAUUCCCAGAUGGACAUAUCAUCAAAGUUGGAGGGGAGAGAUUUGAAGCACCAGAAAUUUUAUUUCAGCCUCACUUGAUCAGUGUUGAAGGAGUUGGUGUUGCUGAAUUGCUUUUGAACACAAUUCAGGCAGCUGACAUUGAUACCUGAUCUGAAUCCUACAAACACAUUGUGCUUUCUGGAGGGUCUACUAUGUAUCCUGGCCUGUCAUCAAGGUUGGAACGAGAACUUAAACAGCUUUACUUAGAACGAGUUUUAAAGGGUGAUGUGGAAAAACUUUUUAAAUUUAAGAUCCGCAUCGAAGACCUACCCCUCAGAAAGCACAUGGGUGGUGCAGUUCUAGCAGAUACCAUGAAAGACAAAGACAACUUUUGGAUGACCCGACAAGAGUACCAAGAAAGGGGUGUCCGUGUGCUAGAGAAACUUGGUGUGACUGUUCG
rnacentral:lncRNA from 1 species